CAAUAGCGUAUAUUAAAGUUGUUGCGGUAAAAAAACUCGUAGUUGGAUUUCUACCGAAGAUAGCCGGUCGGGUCUUCGACCUUGUAUCUGGUUUUGUCUUUGGUAUCCUCAUAGGGAACGUUUCUGCGCUUUAUUGCGUGGUGCGGUAUCUAUGACUUUUACUUUGAGGAAAUUAGAGUGUUCACGGCAGGCAAACGCCUUGAAUAUAUUAGCAUGGAAUAAUAACAUAGGAUCUUCGUCCUAUUUUGUUGGUUUCUAGGGCUAAGAUAAUGAUUAAUAGGGAUAAUUGGGGGCAUCUGUAUCAACGCGUCAGAGGUGGAAUUCUUGGAUUGCGUUGCGACAAACUACUGCGAAAGCAUUUGCCAAGGAUGUUUUCAUUGA
rnacentral:rRNA from 1 species